UGAAGGAGCUUGCUCCUGAUUGAUAAACAUUUGAGUGAGUGGCGGACGGGUGAGUAACACGUGGGUAACCUGCCCUAAAGUGGGGGAUAACAUUUGGAAACAGAUGCUAAUACCGCAUAAAACCUAACACCGCAUGGUGUAGGGUUGAAAGAUGGUUUCGGCUAUCACUUUAGGAUGGACCCGCGGUGCAUUAGUUAGUUGGUGAGGUAAAGGCUCACCAAGACCGUGAUGCAUAGCCGACCUGAGAGGGUAAUCGGCCACACUGGGACUGAGACACGGCCCAGACUCCUACGGGAGGCAGCAGUAGGGAAUCUUCCACAAUGGACGAAAGUCUGAUGGAGCAACGCCGCGUGAGUGAAGAAGGUUUUCGGAUCGUAAAACUCUGUUGUUGGAGAAGAUGUAUCUGAUAGUAACUGAUCAGGUAGUGACGGUAUCCAACCAGAAAGCCACGGCUAACUACGUGCCAGCAGCCGCGGUAAUACGUAGGUGGCAAGCGUUGUCCGGAUUUAUUGGGCGUAAAGCGAGCGCAGGCGGUUUCUUAAGUCUGAUGUGAAAGCCUUCGGCUCAACCGAAGAAGUGCAUCGGAAACUGGGAAACUUGAGUGCAGAAGAGGACAGUGGAACUCCAUGUGUAGCGGUGAAAUGCGUAGAUAUAUGGAAGAACACCAGUGGCGAAGGCGGCUGUCUGGUCUGUAACUGACGCUGAGGCUCGAAAGCAUGGGUAGCAAACAGGAUUAGAUACCCUGGUAGUCCAUGCCGUAAACGAUGAGUGCUAGGUGUUGGAGGGUUUCCGCCCUUCAGUGCCGCAGCUAACGCAUUAAGCACUCCGCCUGGGGAGUACGACCGCAAGGUUGAAACUCAAAGGAAUUGACGGGGGCCCGCACAAGCGGUGGAGCAUGUGGUUUAAUUCGAAGCAACGCGAAGAACCUUACCAGGUCUUGACAUCCUUUGACCACUCUAGAGAUAGAGCUUUCCCUUCGGGGACAAAGUGACAGGUGGUGCAUGGUUGUCGUCAGCUCGUGUCGUGAGAUGUUGGGUUAAGUCCCGCAACGAGCGCAACCCUUAUUACUAGUUGCCAGCAUUUAGUUGGGCACUCUAGUGAGACUGCCGGUGACAAACCGGAGGAAGGUGGGGACGACGUCAAAUCAUCAUGCCCCUUAUGACCUGGGCUACACACGUGCUACAAUGGAUGGUACAACGAGUUGCGAGACCGCGAGGUUUAGCUAAUCUCUUAAAACCAUUCUCAGUUCGGAUUGUAGGCUGCAACUCGCCUACAUGAAGCCGGAAUCGCUAGUAAUCGCGGAUCAGCAUGCCGCGGUGAAUACGUUCCCGGGCCUUGUACACACCGCCCGUCACACCAUGAGAGUUUGUAACACCCAAAGCCGG
rnacentral:rRNA from 2 species